CCGUAGCUCAGUGGUUAGAGCAGGGGACUCAUAAUCCCUUGGUCGCAGGUUCAAAUCCUGCUGGGCCC
rnacentral:tRNA from 1 species